GUAGGGAAUAUUGGGCAAUGGACGCAAGUCUGAUCCAGCCAUGCCGCGUGAAGGAUUAAGGUCCUCUGGAUUGUAAACUUCUUUUAUAAGGGACGAAAAAAGGCUUUUCUAAGUCGUCUGACGGUACCUUAUGAAUAAGCACCGGCUAACUCCGUGCCAGCAGCCGCGGUAAUACGGAGGGUGCAAGCGUUAUCCGGAUUCACUGGGUUUAAAGGGUGCGUAGGCGGGCAGGUAAGUCAGUGGUGAAAUCCUAGAGCUUAACUCUAGAACUGCCAUUGAUACUAUCUGUCUUGAAUAUUGUGGAGGUAAGCGGAAUAUGUCAUGUAGCGGUGAAAUGCUUAGAUAUGACAUAGAACACCUAUUGCGAAGGCAGCUUACUACGCAUAUAUUGACGCUGAGGCACGAAAGCGUGGGGAUCAAACAGGAUUAGAAACCCCGGUAGUCC
rnacentral:rRNA from 1 species